GUGCAGAAAGGAAAAUGUCAUCCAGCUGAAUGAAGGAAAUUGAAGCCUGGCUGAGCAAAGCUUCCCUUAGGCUACAUUGCCAAUGUGUGUAACACAAGAGUACCUGUAUGGGUGACUGAGGAGGGAUGGAAAAUAGGCUCCAUCAGAGGGUCGGGAAAUGAAAGGAAGCUGGGCUGAGAGCAUCUAGACCUACCCACGAGGCUUGAGCCCUAGAGUCCAAAUGCAAUAGAAUUCUUUGCAAUGGCUGCUAUAGACACUCUUGAUGAGCUCAUCAGGCAUUGUUGUGUGUCUGCUUCAAAAUAAUGACAAGUUGCUGAGAAACAAAACGCAAAGGAGUAACUGGGCAUUUGCCUUCAGGCGUGGUGGUGAGUGGACUGGCAGUUAAGGGUGUUAUUUUCGUCAACUUAUUUUGGAUUUUUUAAUCUUCUGUGAACAUACUAUCAGUUUGUGGCCAAGUAGGAGAGAGGGUUGGCAGAGCCUGCCUCAUCCAGACCUGAUAUAGGAGAGUGCGUUGAUAUAAUCCGCCUCAUCCAGACCAGGAGUGUGCCAUGGCAGAGUCGACCUCAUCUAGAGUAGGUGAGUUUACUGACCCCAUGUAAAUUUGUUAAUUCCUGACCCACCCUGUACUCUGAAUGGAUUUCAUGAGCCCAGCUCCUCCUUAAGAUUUAUGGAGUGCUUCAGCUAGAGGAUUUCCCCUGUUGCACCUUGAAAAUCUUCCGUGAGGUAUUAUGGAUUUUUUCUUAAUGGACUUUCUGCUGAGAAUCUUCUAAGUGCUAAAGUUAAAACAUGCAUUAGCCUCUGUUUCAGAAAAGGCAGAGCCACUCAAUCUAUUUUAUUGCUAGAUGAGACAUGAUGAGAGCAGUGAAAGAGCCAGAGAGAAUCUGCUGCACAUCAGCCUUGACUGGAACCUUUUUAGGUUUUCAGGUUUUUCAGUUUUUAGGUUCUCAGCACUACUGAUUGAGUGGUGCUGAGGUAGAGGGAACCAGUAGCUGAGACCAACUGGAGGACUUGGGUAUUAUCAGUAAGCCAGGGACAGAGUGAUUUUGGCAGCACUUUUCUGUAGAGUUUAAGACCACUAGGUAGAGAAAUUGAUGGAAAGGAAAAGGAACCAAUUCCACAGAAUUAGGUGUCUGAGAAAAACAAGCAGGUGUCAUCAAAGAGGCUUUCCAGUAGCACUUUUGUAUUUAGGUCAAAGGCAGAGGAAAGCAUUGUGUUUUCAGAGUAACGUUUCCUGUUGGCCAAGGCAAUUGGCCAAGGCAUCAGAGGCAAUACCAAAUGAGAAAGGACACGCAUGAUGGAUAGGGGCAAAAGGUAAAGCUGCAAGGAAAAUCUUAAAAGUAACCUUGAAUGCAAUGGUAUUGGGUUUUUAGAAGGGGAAAUAAAAAUGAAGAUGUGAGAUUGCAAGCUGUUAGGAGUGCUGUGUGCAUGAUGGGAAGUAAGGGAAGACUUGGUUCAAAGUACUCUUUACAAAUUUUGUGGCAAUUCAUAAAGAGAAAAGAAGGAAAGAUUCAACACAUAAGUGACUCGUCAGCCACAAGGAUAGAUUAGUUAGGACACUGCCAAAUGAAUCCAUUCAACCAAGGAAUGAGGUUUGUCUUUCCUCCUGGUAAUAUGAAGGAAUUUUUGACUCUCUUGACUCCAAAUGGGGAAAGAAUGGAUGAAAAAUACUGUGAGGCUACAUGAGGGGAAAGUCAGCAGAAUAUAGCGAUGUUGGGACUUUCCUGUUCUUGUCUGGCAGUUUCCUCUUCUGUGGGCAGUGAAAACAAAACAA